rnacentral:rRNA from 1 species
CCUACGGGAGGCAGCAGUGGGGGAUAUUGGACAAUGGGGGGGAACCCUGAUCCAGCGACGCCGCGUGAGUGAAGAAGUAUUUCGGUAUGUAAAGCUCUGUCAGCAGGGAAGAAAGCAAUGACGGUACCUGACCAAGAAGCCCCGGCUAACUACGUGCCAGCAGCCGCGGUAAUACGUAGGGGGCAAGCGUGAUCCGGAAUUACUCGGUGUAAAGGGAGCGUAGACGGGUGUGCAAGUCUGGAGUGAAAGGCGGGGGCCCAACCCCCGGACUGCUCUGGAAACUGUAUGGCUGGAGUGCAGGAGAGGUAAGCGGAAUUCCUGGUGUAGCGGUGAAAUGCGUAGAUAUUAGGAGGAACACCAGUGGCGAAGGCGGGUUACUGGACUUUAACUGACGUUGAGGCUCGAAAGCGAGGGGAGCAAAAGGGAUUAGAUACCCCUGUAGUC